UUUCAGAUUAAUCUGAACCAGAGCAUGUCAUUUCCGUCAAUCCGUCAUCAUCGUCCAGAAGAUGAUGUGAAAUGGAGGAUCAUUACCAUUUAAGGACACGUUGAGUUGAAUCAGAUGUAAAUUUAAUUGGUGAGGGUCUGAAUGAGUGGCAGCGGCGCGAAGGAAGACGGGAUGGCUGGAUCGAAAUGCAACGGGACCAGCGAAAUGAGUUUCUGCAGCCCCAUUCCAUUGAGAGAAGAUCCUCAAUCAGGUUGAACAAUGAUGUGUACAGAACUUUGGACACUCAUUUUCAUUUUGCCAUUCAGAACCUCUUCUCCUCUGCCGCUCAGCUAAGCCCACCAUCUGAUUACGUCGUCAAGGUCUUCCUUCUGAUGAGAUCGACGAUCAAUUUCGUUCUUAGUUAAGUGGUUUUUUGUGCACUAGCUUGCUUGGCUUCUUCCCACAUCUAUGUGUUUCAAUCUCUAUCUCUGUAAAUAGUGUUGCUUUUAUUUUUUAACUGUGCAAGUUGGGUACUGAGUGAUAUCUUUGAAAAGUUUUAAAUUUACAUUUCUCUCAUUACUUUGUGCUUAUAGUUUUCCUUUUUCAUUUCUCUCAUGGUAUAUAACUAAAAGCCAUUUUGUCAUUUGGAACUCAAGGAUGAUUAUGACAUUGGAGAAUGGCCAUCAUUGGCAAAAGAAUGUGCUAUAUACUGGAUUAGUUUAUAUUUGCCUUCUUGGCUAGGGUAAAAUUAAAAGGGAUUUGUUGAAUAUCGAGCUAAGCUACAGGUUGAGUUUCAAAAGAAAGUUUCAGAUAUAACACUAUUAUUCUAUUUGUUAAAUGCAGCUGCUAAACUAUCCUUUUAUCUGAUUCUGACAUGAUGCAUUCACUCAUUUCCUUCAUGCUUUACCAUGAAUACGGAGUAACAGAGAUUUUGGAGCUUAUAAUGUCAAGCGACUUGAGCAAGAGAUUGAAGCAAAAAUCCAGUGCUUGAAAACCGAAGCUGCAAUAAUAUCGAAUGAUGUGUUAGAGGACAAAUGUGUUGUCCUUGAAAGCAAAGUCCAUCAUUCUUGGUUAAGAAAAUAAAUCAAUUUUGAUCUUGAGAUUGUCAACUGAAGAAGAAAGAAGCUUAAUGGAAGAAGAGAGCAGGUGCCCUUGAAAGAAAGGUGUUGAUUGUCGCAAGAGAGAAGCUGAAUGGAAGAAGAGAGAAUCUGCAUUGCAUCUUGAAGUUAAGAACCUCACAGAGGUAUCCUUUAUGAAUGGGUUCUGCCUAGGUUAGAGCUGGCUGAGAGAAGAACGGAGCACAGUGCAGGUUGUGCCAAGAAGAAGUCAAUGGAAGAGUCAUUCACAAGAGGAUCAUGAAGCUCACUCCUGGAAACAUCAAAUACAGUACCAAGUCAAGAGCCUAGAGAAUGUGCAAUUGCAUGUGUUUAGUGAAGGGCCUCAAACAGUCCUCUUUGUGACAGGAGAAUGUGAAAUCAAGCUAGCAUUAAUUUUAAAGUGAUCCAUGUUUAUUUAUCAUUAAAAAGUGAUAUGACAUUGGUGAAUGUCAUAUGUUACAUUAUCACAUGCUAUUUUUUAUCAGGGCUUAUUUUGUAUGUAAUAAGUUAUUGCCUCUUACAUAUAUGUAAUACCUAUCCUUAUUUAAUAAUUAUUUGUUCCUAAUUA